rnacentral:rRNA from 1 species
UACGAAGGGGGCUAGCGUUGCUCGGAAUCACGGGGCGUAAAGCGCACGUAGGCGGCUUGUUAAGUCAGGGGUGAAAUCCUGGAGCUCAACUCCAGAACUGCCUUUGAUACUGGCGAUCUUGAGUCCGGGAGAGGUGAGUGGAACUCCGAGUGUAGAGGUGAAAUUCGUAGAUAUUCGGAAGAACACCAGUGGCGAAGGCGGCUCACUGGCCCGGUACUGACGCUGAUGUGCGAAAGCGUGGGGAGCAAACAGG